rnacentral:rRNA from 1 species
CACGUAGGGGGCGAGCGUUGUCCGGAUUUAUUGGGCGUAAAGAGCUCGUAGGCGGCUCAGUAAGUCAGGUGUGAAAACUCCAGGCUCAACCUGGAGACGCCACCUGAUACUGCUGUGGCUAGAGUCCGGUAGGGGAGCAUGGAAUUCCUGGUGUAGCGCUGAAAUGCGCAGAUAUCAGGAGGAACACCAGUGGCGAAGGCGACUACCUGGCCUGUUCUUGACGCUGAGGCGCGAAAGCUAGGGGAGCAAACGGG